rnacentral:rRNA from 1 species
AGCUUGUUGUUGGUUUUAUAACAGGUGUUUUCUGCCCGGUGUUUUUAGGAAUAAACGGCUGCGGUACUUUGACCGUGCAAAGGUAGCAUAAUCACUUGCCCUUUAAUUGUGGGCUGGGAUGAAGGGAAGGACGUGGGUUUAGCUGUCUUUUUUCUAUUUUUUGAAUUUGCUGUUUGUGUGAAGAAGCAUUAUUGGUGAAAAGGGACGAGAAGACCCUAUUAAGCUUUACUUUUAUGUGGUGGUUUUGUUUUUCGUAUUUAAGUUUGUUCGCAAAAAGUUUGGUUGGGGUGACCAAAGAAGAUAUGGAUCUUCUUUUUUAUUCUUACUUUUUGUUUAAUUUUGACCCAAAAUUUUUUGGUUUAAGGAAUUAGUUACUAUAGGGGUAACAGCGUAAUUUUUUCGUAAAGUUCUUAUUGAAGAAAAAGAUUGCGACCUCGAUGUUGACUUGUUGUGCCCUCUUUUAAGGUGCAGUAGCUGGAAGGGUUGGUCUGUUCGACCAUUAAAAUGAU